UCUGCUGGCCUGGCUGGAGCCUGCAGUACCUCCCCUGCUGGCCUUUCAAGGCCAUACAGCGCUCCCUGCGGACCCAGCUGACGCCUCCCUGCGGGUCGCUGGUCCACCACCCCGCUGUACAUACCCCUUUCCUAAACUAAGCCCUGACGCCAGCAACUCUCUGAGCCAUGCCCACAUCUUGAACCACUGACUUUGUUCCCUAGGGAUGGCCUCUUGGUUCAUACGUACGUCUGACUGUCCCCCUCUACUGAGUCGCAGAGCGGCCAGAGUAGAAGUGGAUUUGCAGUGUCAGAGCAGGACAGAGUAUUUAGGAACGUUGGACAGGAUAGACUACUGCAGAAGUCACUAACCCGUGCCGGAGUGCGAGGUCGGUUGGCUACAGGUCGGUUGAGAGUUUCUGUUCGGAUCGUCGGUGCAGGGGCAAUUCAGGAUGUAAACAUUGCCUCAAUCCACGAAGCUGGAAUCUUUUUAUCUUGAACUUCGUCACUUCAAGAGUGUCAUACAAAUGGAAUCAUACUGCACACACUUUUGUGACUGGCUUCUUGGCGGAAUUCUCCAGAGAACCAUCCAAACAUGCAUAAUUCACCCUUUGGGAAUCUUUAGGAUCAGGUCGUGGAGUUCAAAAGGAAAAUGCUUUUAAAAGAAUCUACAACCAUAUGGAGUUGCACAGGAGGAACACAGAAAGAUGUCAAAACACAUUACUCCCAUGGCUUUUGAGCCGUCUCUCAGCAGAUUCCCUUGAGGGAACUGACAGCACUUUGAAGGCCAUGGAAACUCCUUCAACCAAUGGAGAACUAAAGAGUGGAAACUGGAACACUGCAUCUGUCCCAGAAGGAUGAUCAUCACAGCACAUCAUAGGAGAGCCAGCCAGGGUCCAAACAGCUCCUGCCAGAGACUGUUCUGAACAUUGGAUAAGAUAUGGAUGGCCCCUGUGCCUGAGGAUCCCCUGAUUUAAUGGGAAGAGUGAGUGGUGAACAAAUGUUACAAUCCAGGGAGAAAGUGCUAUAGGAGCGGCAGCACAGAGCAUUAUGGGAGCAAGGGGAGCUCCUUACGGAGGCCAGGAGACCAUGGGGGACUUGCCAGAGGACAUGGCAUCAAAAGCAGAGCUAUGCCUCAGUUCUGGGCCAUGACUUCGGUUCUCGGGAAAGCUUAUUAACUUCUCUGGGACCUCAGUUUUCCCAUCUGAAAAGUGAGAAGGUCGAGAAAUUUAUAGGAUUUCUGAGAUGCUUAGAAUACAUAAUUCUGGUACAUCCAUCCAUGGCUCCUGGUGCAGGGUAAGUCCUCAGUAAAUAGGAGGGGCUGUUAUCGCUAUGACUAUGAAUGCCGUUUCAACAGAGGGGUUAGAGGGAAAGGGCCAAAGCGGGAGGCUGGGAACAACUCAAGCAGGUGACCUUCAAAGCACUCUGUGCAAAUAUCGAGUCCUUUUCUGAGCGCUGAGAAAGUGCCUAUUUGGAAAGGCAGCCAGCUGGAGUGACAUUUACUCCCGGUGUGACACAGGAGGCAGAUGAACGGUGAGUGGGGCGCAUUGUCUGGCGGUGAAGACGCAGACACAACAUGAAGAAUAAGCCUUCCAGGGGCUGCCCAAAGGUCACCACACACGCCUUUUGAUUAGAAAAAGCAGU